rnacentral:tRNA from 1 species
GGAGAGGUGACAGAGUGGUCGAUUGUGGCGGUCUCGAAAACCGUUGAUCCUCACGGAUCCGUGGGUUCGAAUCCCACCCUCUCCGCCA